rnacentral:rRNA from 1 species
UACGGGGGGGGCAAGCGUUGUUCGGAAUUACUGGGCGUAAAGGGCUCGUAGGUGGCCAACUAAGUCAGACGUGAAAUCCCUCAGCUUAACUGGGGAACUGCGUCUGAUACUGGAUGGCUUGAGUUUGGGAGAGGGAUGCGGAAUUCCAGGUGUAGCGGUGAAAUGCGUAGAUAUCAGGAGGAACACCGGUGGCGAAGGCGGCUACCUGGCCUAAGACUGACGCUGAGGUGCGAAAGCGUGGGGAGCGAACGGG